UUCGUCCUACAUCGGCUGCACGUCGCGCCGCCACCUCCGGAUGUCUCGGUCUCACCUGGGCGUGCAGCAGCCUCCGCACAACUCCCCUGAACCUUCCCCAGCCUCUGCCCUCACCGGAGCUCGCCGGAAUCGGUGCCUCCAUGGCAGCCGCCGCCGGCCUGAAUCGGCCACCGCCGCCAGCCCUCCCGGCGCCAUCCUAGGUGCCGCCACCGAGGGGAAUGGAACCCCCUCGGCCUCCUGGUCCCGUAGCCGUGCUUCCCUGGCCGCCCGGCUGCCCUCCAUGGUCGGGCACCAUCCUGUGAAAGAGAGAGAAAGAACGUGAAGGAAGGAGAACGAUCGAAGGA
rnacentral:lncRNA from 1 species